UACGUAGGGGGCAAGCGUUGUCCGGAUUUAUUGGGCGUAAAGAGCGUGUAGGCGGCCAGGUAGGUCCGUUGUGAAAACUGGAGGCUUAACCUCCAGCUGUCGAUGGAAACCAUCUGGCUAGAGUCCGGAAGAGGAGAGUGGAAUUCCUGGUGUAGCGGUGAAAUGCGCAGAUAUCAGGAAGAACACCCGUAGCGAAGGCGGCUCUCUGGGGACGGUACUGACGCUGAGACGCGAAAGCGUGGGGAGCGAACAGG
rnacentral:rRNA from 1 species